UAGCUCAGUGGUAGAGCACUUGCCUAGCAUGCAUGAGACCUGGGUUCAAUUCCCAA
rnacentral:tRNA from 1 species